AUUCCAUUUCAUCUGAAACGCUUUUCACCAUCUGAACCCUUCUCCUUCUCUCAGAGCCGUUUCUCUGCUUAAACACUUUUCACCUUACAUCUGAAACCCUUCUCCUUCUCUUAACCGUUUUUCUAGGGUUUCGAAUAUAUAAAAUCAGUCAAGGAUUCGCAUUCUCCCUCAGAGGAUUUCAUGUAUCUGACCAUCUCUGCUUCAGUCAAGGAUCCGCUGCAAUCAGGAUUGACAUGAGAAUUCAGGGCUUCCGCAAUCUCCAUGUCCGCUUGGAUUUCUUGCGCUCCGCCACUGCUGUGCGCCUCGGCUAGGUUAAUCACAGUGUUAAUCUGAUUUCGUCUGUGAUCUGCUAGGAUUCAAAAUCAUCCUCUGAUACCGUUUGCAGAGUUUCUGCAGUUCGGUCAUUAUAAGUUUUCUUCUUCACCAUUUAGGUGUCGUGUGUUCCACUGGGGUUCCGGACGCUUGAUCUCUGCUACCCCAUUUCAGGCGAUUCCAAUGUUGAUAGGAAGCAAAUUUGAUGAUUUCAUUCAGCUUCCAGUUGAUUUGCAAUGGCCCUUUUCCAGUGAGGUUCAAAUGAGACAGAUGCAGCAAUUUUUGUAUUCCCGUAAUUUCAUGUAUUCCUUUCUCAAAUUAGGAUUUCGGUGGCAGACAUGACUGGGCAGACCUCAACCAAAGCAUUUUUCAGUUGCUCAAUUUUGAGUUUGGGAUGAACUGAGAGAGUGUGGUGGCCAUGGCUUCUCACUUUUUUGUCUACCACACAUGUUUUUCUUAUAAAAACUUUUGUAUUAAGCAUUGAUUACUAUUUUUAUGAGUUUCUUUAAAAAAUUGGUUAUAGCAAAAUUAUGCUUUAUAUAUACCAAUAAAGCAUGGAUUUAUGGUUUUUGUACAAGUUGGUUCAAUUGUUGGUGGUGACUGAUAUGAGAAUACAUUUUGGGAUAUUAGGUUCAGAUCAGAUUCCAGCAGUUGGUGUAUAGAGAGAGUAUUUGCUAUAAUGGAGCAGCAUUGGAAGGAUCUAAACCAAGCUCCAUGCUUUGCAUUUUUACAUGACAGUGUAUUCUUCCUUUGAAAUCAUAUGAAUUGUAGUGAAUUUACUUAGAUGAUCCUUUGAAUGCUAUCCUUGCCCGCCAACGUUCAGCUCUCAUCUCAUACAUUAAGGUUAGCUCAGAUACAAAGCACUUUUCACACUCCUAAUUGUGCAGGUCCUCUGGAAUGCAGCUAAAGGGGGACAUGACUAGAAGGAACAGUGAUGAUGACGGAUUGACGGGUUACUUGGUAUGCAGUCGCUGAAGCCUCCCACCAGCACCAUCUUAUGCUUAUGAGCUCAUCUUGAGGACCAAUGAAAGACAUUUAGAGGCUGUCGCACCUUACAUUGAGGUGACCUCAUUGUGAAACACACGUGCCUUUCUUUCUUCAUUUUUCUUUUAAAUAUUGGCAGCAACUAAAUCUUAUAUGGAUUUUCAUAUUGAUGCUACUAAUCCCCUGCUUGGUGGAUCCUUAAAUUCAAUAAACUCUUAAGGAAUGUUGGGUCAGUAGCUACUAAGUGCAUUGGCCAUGAAAAUGUAUGAAGGAAUGAAACACCAUCAAUCAUUGGAUUCAAAGCCAUUUGAAGCAUUGUUUUACCUGAAACAAUGAAGUUUAUGUACUUUAGGUUAAAAGAAUUUAGCACAUGACAGAAAGUUUGUGUGUCUAUGUUUGUACUUAUUGAAAUUUCUAAAGGAAGACUUUUCAAGGUA